rnacentral:rRNA from 1 species
UUUGAUCAUGGCUCAGGAUGAACGCUAGCGGCAGGCUUAACACAUGCAAGUCGAGGGGCAGCGGGGUGUAGCAAUACAUCGCCGGCGACCGGCGCACGGGUGCGUAACACGUAUGGAAUCUGCCCUUUACUGGGGGAUAGCCCGGAGAAAUCCGGAUUAAUACCCCGUAACAAGCGAGGUGGCAUCAUCUUGCUUUGAAAGCUCCGGCGGUAAAGGAUGACCAUGCGCCCGAUCAGCUAGUUGGUGAGGUAAUGGCUCACCAAGGCUACGAUCGGUAGGGGGCCUGAGAGGGUUAUCCCCCACACUGGUACUGAGACACGGACCAGACUCCUACGGGAGGCAGCAGUGAGGAAUAUUGCGCAAUGGAGGCAACUCUGACGCAGCCAUGCCGCGUGCAGGAAGAAGGCGCUACGCGUUGUAAACUGCUUUUAUCCGGGAAGAAACCCCAGGACGUGUCCUGGGUUGACGGUACCGGAGGAAUAAGCACCGGCUAACUUCGUG